CCUACGAGAGGCAGCAGUGAGGAAUAUUGGUCAAUGGACGCAAGUCUGAACCAGCCAUGCCGCGUGCAGGAAGACGGCUCUAUGAGUUGUAAACUGCUUUUGUACGAGGGUAAACGCAGAUACGCGUAUCUGUCUGAAAGUAUCGUACGAAUAAGGAUCGGCUAACCCCGUGCCAGCAGCCGCGGGAAUACGGAGGAUUCAAGCGUUAUCCGGAUUUAUUGGGUUUAAAGGGUGCGUAGGCGGUCGGAUAAGUUAGAGGUGAAAUCCCGAGGCUCAACUUCGGAAUUGCCUCUGAUACUGUUCGGCUAGAGAGUAGUUGCGGUAGGCGGAAUGUAUGGUGUAGCGGUGAAAUGCUUAGAGAUCAUACAGAACACCGAUUGCGAAGGCAGCUUACCAAGCUACUUCUGACGUUGAGGCACGAAAGCGUGGGGAGCAAACAGGAUUAGAUACCCCAGUAGUC
rnacentral:rRNA from 1 species